UACGUAGGGCGCAAGCGUUGUCCGGAAUUACUGGGCGUAAAGCGUGCGCAGGCGGCUUUGCAAGACAGUUGUGAAAUCCCCGGGCUCAACCUGGGAACUGCAUCUGUGACUGCAUCGCUGGAGUGCGGCAGAGGGGGGAUGGAAUUCCGCGUGUAGCAGUGAAAUGCGUAGAUAUGCGGAGGAACACCGAUGGCUGAAGGCAAUCCCCUGGGCCUGCACUGACGCUCAUGCACGAAAGCGUGGGGAGCAAACAGG
rnacentral:rRNA from 1 species